AGCGAACGCUGGCGGCAGGCUUAACACAUGCAAGUCGAGCGGGCACUUUCGGGUGUCAGCGGCGUACGGGUGAGUAACGCGGGGGAACGUGCCCUCUGGUUCGGAAUAACUCAGGGAAACUUGAGCUAAUACCGGAUACGCCCUUUUGGGGAAAGGCUUGCUGCCGGAGGAUCGGCCCGCGUCUGAUUACCUAGUUGGUGAGGUAACGGCUCACCAAGGCGACGAUCAGUAGCUGGUCUGAGAGGAUGAUCAGCCACACUGGGACUGAGACACGGCCCAGACUCCUACGGGAGGCAGCAGUGGGGAAUAUUGGACAAUGGGCGCAAGCCUGAUCCAGCCAUGCCGCGUGAGUGAUGAAGGCCUUAGGGUUGUAAAGCUCUUUUAUCCGGGACGAUAAUGACGGUACCGGAGGAAUAAGCCACGGCUAACUUCGUG
rnacentral:rRNA from 1 species